CCUACGGGUGGCAGCAGUGGGGAAUAUUGGACAAUGGGGGGAACCCUGAUCCAGCCAUGCCGCGUGUGUGAAGAAGGCCCUCGGGUUGUAAAGCACUUUCAGUGAGGAAGAACGCCUGGUGGUUAAUACCCAUCAGGAAAGACAUCACUCACGGAAGAAGCACCGGCUAACUCCGUGCCAGCAGCCGCGGUAAUACGGAGGGUGCGAGCGUUAAUCGGAAUUACUGGGCGUAAAGCGCGCGUAGGUGGCUUGAUAAGCCGGUUGUGAAAGCCCCGGGCUCAACCUGGGAACGGCAUCCGGAACUGUCAAGCUAGAGUGCAGGAGAGGAAGGUAGAAUUCCCGGUGUAGCGGUGAAAUGCGUAGAGAUCGGGAGGAAUACCAGUGGCGAAGGCGGCCUUCUGGACUGACACUGACACUGAGGUGCGAAAGCGUGGGUAGCAAACAGGAUUAGAUACCCGUGUAGUC
rnacentral:rRNA from 1 species